CGGCCGCCCCCGGGCCCCGGCGGGGUCUGGGCCGCGCUCCCUCGGAACCCGCUCCAGCCUGGCCCCGGAGAGCGAGAGCCCGGCGCCUGCGAGGCCCCCGGGGCUGGCCCCAGAACCCUGUUCCUUACCCUGCCUGACAUCGGCGAGGAGGGGGCCUCGGACGGCGACUCCGGGGAUGGCGAAGCGUUGGAGUGCAGUGGUAUGAUCACUGUUCAUUGCAGCCUCAACCUCCCAGGCUCAAGCGAUCUGAUUUUCUCGUCUCAGACUCUCGAGUAGCUGGGACUACAGGUGUGAGCUACUAUGCCUGGCCAAUUUUAAAAAUGUUUCUGUGGAGACGGGGUCUCCCUAUGUUGCCCAGGCUGCUCUUGAACUCCUGGCCUCAAGCAAUCUUCCCACCUGGGCAUUGCUGGAAUUACAGGCAUGAGCCACUGCGUCUGGCCAUGAAAUUGGAUUUUAGAAGAGGACUGUCAGAAGGACGUAGAAGGCACACUUUUACUGUGAGAAGCAAAGAUCCUUUACCUACGCAUUUUACAAGAAAUGUGCAGAAAGCCAUUGAUAAAUAUACCUG
rnacentral:sRNA from 1 species